rnacentral:rRNA from 1 species
UCCGUAGGCGGGCCAUUAAGUCAGAGGUGAGAGUCUGCGGCUCAACCGUAGAAUUGCCUUUGAUACUGGUGGUCUUGAGUUAUGGUGAAGUGGCUGGAAUAUGUAGUGUAGCGGUGAAAUGCAUAGAUAUUACAUAGAACACCGAUUGCGAAGGCAGGUCACUAACCAUAUACUGACGCUGAUGGACGAAAGCGUGGGGAGCGAACAGGAUUAGAUACCCUGGUAGUCC